rnacentral:tRNA from 1 species
GGGUCUAUGGCUCAGAGGCAGAGCAUCUGCUUGGCUUGCAGAAGGUGCCAAGUUCAAUUCCCAGACUCU